ensembl:lncRNA
GUACCAGCUGCAGUUGCUGCAGUUGUGGCAGAAGCUGUUGUAGUGUGGGCUGCAGUUGUGGUGACAGGGUGUUUUGUAGUAGCAGCUGCAGUUGUAGUGGCAGCCUCUGUCGUAGGAGCCACUGCAGUUGAGAUGGCAGAAGCUGUUGUAGUGUGGGCUGCAGUUGUGGUUAUAGGGGAAGUUGUAGUGGCAACUGAUGUUGAGGUACCAGUUGCAGUUGUGGUGGCAUUGCCUGUUGUAGUGUGGGCUGCAGUUGUGGUGACAGGGGAAGUUGUAGUAGCAGCCGCAGUUACCA